rnacentral:tRNA from 1 species
GCCUAGUUAGCUCAGUUGGUAGUGCGUCUGCCUUGUAAGCGCUAGGCCGCGGGUUCGAUUCCCGCCCGGGCA